rnacentral:rRNA from 1 species
GUCUACAUGCAUGCCACUCUGAACAAGCCCGAUGUCUGAUCUCAGAAACUAAGCAGAGUCGGGCCUGGUUAGUGGAGACCACCUAGGAAGACCAAGUGCUGUAGGCA